UUGGAUCCAGGGCAGGGUUUGGGGCAGUUAUAAAACAUCCCUUCCUGGACUUGUAAAAGGAGCACAUGGCAUGGGACCCACAAUGCGAUUCAGACACAGCUGGCUUUCUGACUCUAGCAGCAUUUUCAUGCCUCACCGUGCUUGUGAUGUGACAUCUGCUGCUACAGAUGCCAUGGCAACCUGCAGGAAGCAGGCUGCAGGGAGAAAGGGGUCUGGAAAGGUAAAGCAGCACUGACACCUGCAGGUGGGGGGCAGAAAUCUCCCACCAGCCUUGCCAGAAUCCUCGUCUUUCCCCUGCUUUGUGCCCUAGACAAGG